rnacentral:rRNA from 1 species
UACGUAGGGCGCAAGCGUUAUCCGGAAUUAUUGGGCGUAAAGAGCUCGUAGGCGGCUUGUCGCGUCUGCUGUGAAAGUCCGGGGCUCAACUCCGGAUCUGCGGUGGGUACGGGCAGACUAGAGUGAUGUAGGGGAGACUGGAAUUCCUGGUGUAGCGGUGAAAUGCGCAGAUAUCAGGAGGAACACCGAUGGCGAAGGCAGGUCUCUGGGCAUUAACUGACGCUGAGGAGCGAAAGCAUGGGGAGCGAACAGG